UCUUAUUUUGGCUCCCUCGUUCCUUCUACACUAAAUGCUUUGGUCCAGUCAGCUAUAAAUGGUUUAUAUUACAGUCCCACAAGCUUUGCUGGAAUGGAGAUGGCAUCACAUUUUUGUCCUAACCUAGUGAUGUCUUAGACUGGCAGCUCUCUUUUGAUAUUUUUAUGAUGUAAAAGUUAAGUGCUAACAAAAUAUAUGAAUAAAUGGAUGGGUAGGGUGAGAAACAACUUAUGAACAGAAGACUGACAGUGAAAUGUUUAUCAGUCCUUUAUGUUUAAAACAGAUCUGCUAAGUUAAGUGGUUGAUGUUUUCUGUGAUUUUGCUGUGAAGCGAUUCAUGGUCUUUUGUGGAACAUCGAUUUUUUCUGAAGGUAGAAGAAUUAAGGCUGCAUGACGUCAUAGAGAAUGCUGCAGGUUAUUACUGCUUCAGCCAACGUUCAUUAACAGCCACAUGACUCUUCAUAAAGCACCUUCUACAUCCACAAAUGAUACAAAGUGUGAGAACUCCACUGGCAGGAAACAACCUCCCUGGAGUUUGGCUGAUUUAUGUCAGAUAACUUCUUUCUUUUUCCUCAUCACUUGCAAGAAGACAGCGUUAGUUUCCAACUGUGCAGCAUAUAAAAGGAAGCUCUGUCAGGGGGUGAGCAAGGGUUAGGAAGUGCUUUUCCAGAAGCAAAACCUCGGGCUGCUCAUCACUGACAAGAAGGCCCUAAACAAACCAAAUCUGCAUUCUGAACAGAUAGAAACAAAUGUUCCUAGAUACCUGAUAAGUAUUUCUGGCUUACAUGCAGAGAAUCAUAUGGAUUGGCAGAUAUAAGAAUGGAAAGAAUAUAUCUGGUCAAAUUGGAAAUAAAUUAGUUAAAAGAUGGGAGAAGGUAUUAUGAUUUGAUGAAUAUGAAUUAUUAAUUGUGAUCAAUUAGGCAUGUCGCAUUUAACAAACACUCCAUCAGUGCUGUGGCCUCACACACACUUGGUACCAUAGCUUGUUCUUUCUGCUCUAAGCCUGUAGCAUGCAACUGUUAUCCCUGAAGAUGUUAGUGCUUGAAUCUAACUAAACAUGAAAUGAAUAGAUUUGUUACGCAGGAGAUCAAAUUAGAUGGUCUUAUGCUUCUUUCUUAACCUAGAGGAAAUUACUCCAAGAAAUCAAUGUUCAGUGUUUCCAUUGAUCACAGUACGAGUUUUGGUACCAGUGCCAACAAAGUUCCUAUAAAUUCAAAGCUAACAUAGGCAUGAUUCAAACAUA